rnacentral:rRNA from 1 species
CACGUAGGGGGCAAGCGUUGUCCGGAUUUAUUGGGCGUAAAGAGCUCGUAGGCGGUUCGGUAAGUCGGGUGUGAAAACUCUGGGCUCAACUCAGAGACGCCACCCGAUACUGCUGUGACUUGAGUCUGGUAGGGGAGUGUGGAAUUCCCGGUGUAGCGGUGAAAUGCGCAGAUAUCGGGAGGAACACCAGUGGCGAAGGCGGCACUCUGGGCCAGUACUGACGCUGAGGAGCGAAAGCGUGGGGAGCGAACAGGAUUAGAUACCCCCGUAGUCC